AGAGUUUGAUCCUGGCUCAGAUUGAACGCUGGCGGAAUGCUUUACACAUGCAAGUCGAACGGCAGCACGGGAGCUUGCUCCUGGUGGCGAGUGGCGAACGGGUGAGUAAUACAUCGGAACGUACCCAGUCGUGGGGGAUAACACAUUCAAAGAUGUGCUAAUACCGCAUACGACCUGAGGGUGAAAGGGGGGAUCGCAAGACCUCUCGCGAUUGGAGCGGCCGAUGUCGGAUUAGCUAGUUGGUAGGGUAAAGGCCUACCAAGGCGACGAUCCGUAGCUGGUCUGAGAGGAUGAUCAGCCACACUGGAACUGAGAUACGGUCCAGACUCCUACGGGAGGCAGCAGUGGGGAAUUUUGGACAAUGGGGGCAACCCUGAUCCAGCCAUUCCGCGUGAGUGAAGAAGGCCUUCGGGUUGUAAAGCUCUUUCAGCUGGAACGAAACGGUGUGCUCUAACAUAGCGCGCUAAUGACGGUACCAGCAGAAGAAGCACCGGCUAACUACGUGCCAGCAGCCGCGGUAAUACGUAGGGUGCGAGCGUUAAUCGGAAUUACUGGGCGUAAAGCGUGCGCAGGCGGAUUGUUAAGCAAGACGUGAAAUCCCCGGGCUUAACCUGGGAAUGGCGUUUUGAACUGGCAGUCUAGAGUGCGUCAGAGGGGGGUGGAAUUCCACGUGUAGCAGUGAAAUGCGUAGAGAUGUGGAGGAACACCGAUGGCGAAGGCAGCCCCCUGGGAUGACACUGACGCUCAUGUACGAAAGCGUGGGUAGCAAACAGGAUUAGAUACCCUGGUAGUCCACGCCCUAAACGAUGUCAACUGGUUGUUGGGGGAGUGAAAUCCCUUAGUAACGAAGCUAACGCGUGAAGUUGACCGCCUGGGGAGUACGGUCGCAAGAUUAAAACUCAAAGGAAUUGACGGGGACCCGCACAAGCGGUGGAUGAUGUGGAUUAAUUCGAUGCAACGCGAAAAACCUUACCUACCCUUGACAUGUCCGGAAUCCUGCUGAGAGGUGGGAGUGCCCGAAAGGGAAUCGGAACACAGGUGCUGCAUGGCUGUCGUCAGCUCGUGUCGUGAGAUGUUGGGUUAAGUCCCGCAACGAGCGCAACCCUUAUCAUUAGUUGCUACGCAAGGGCACUCUAAUGAGACUGCCGGUGACAAACCGGAGGAAGGUGGGGAUGACGUCAAGUCCUCAUGGCCCUUAUGGGUAGGGCUUCACACGUCAUACAAUGGUCGGUACAGAGGGUUGCCAAGCCGCGAGGUGGAGCCAAUCCCAGAAAGCCGAUCGUAGUCCGGAUUGUUCUCUGCAACUCGAGAGCAUGAAGUCGGAAUCGCUAGUAAUUCCCGGAUCAGCAUGUCGCGGUGAAUACGUUCCCGGGUCUUGUACACACCGCCCAUCACACCAUGGGAGUGGAAUCUGGCAGAAGUAGGUAGCCUAACCGCGAGGGGGGCGCUUACCACGCUGGGUUUCAUGACUGGGGUGAAGUCG
rnacentral:rRNA from 1 species